rnacentral:rRNA from 1 species
AGCUCCAAUAGCGUAUAUUAAAGUUGUUGCAGUUAAAAAGCUCGUAGUUGAAUUUCUGGGUAUUAACUUUCGGUCCGGUGGCUUAGUCUACUGUGUACUGUUAAUGUUGUAUCCAUCUUAGUAGUGAUUGUUACUGGCAUUUAUUUGUUGGUAGCAGGAGCUGCUUCGUUUACUGUGAAAAAAUUAGAGUGUUUAAAGCAGGCGUUACGCCUUGAAUACUUCAGCAUGGAAUAAAAAGAUAGGACUUUGGUGCUAUUUUAUUGGUUUGCACACCAAGUAAUGAUUAAUAGGGAUAGUUGGGGGUAUUCAUAUUUGAUUGUCAGAGGUGAAAUUCUUGGAUUUAUAAAAGAUGAACUUAUGCGAAAGCAUUUACCAAGGAUGUUUUCAUUAAUCAAGAACG